GCUGGGCAUGGUGGCCCAUGCCUGUAAUCCCAGCUACUUGGGAGGCUGAGGCAGGAGAAUAGCUUGAACCCGGGUGACAGAGGUUGCAGUGAGCAGAGAUCAUGCCAUUGCACUCUAGCCUGGGUGACAGAGCAAGACUCUGUCUCAA
rnacentral:SRP_RNA from 1 species